rnacentral:rRNA from 1 species
CCUACGGGAGGCAGCAGUGGGGAAUUUUCCGCAAUGGGCGAAAGCCUGACGGAGCAAUACCGCGUGAGGGAAGAAAGCCUACUGGGUUGUAAACCUCUUUUUUCAGGGAGGAAAAAAAUGACGUGUACCUGAAGAAUAAGCAUCGGCUAACUCCGUGCCAGCAGCCGCGGUAAGACGGAGGAUGCAAGUGUUAUCCGGAAUUACUGGGCGUAAAGCGUCUGUAGGUGGUUUAAUAAGUCAACUGUUAAAUCUUGAGGCUUAACUUCAAAACAGCAGUCGAAACUAUUAGACUAGAGUAUAGUAGGGGUAAAGGGAAUUUCCAGUGGAGCGGUGAAAUGCGUAGAUAUUGGAAAGAACACCGAUGGCGAAAGCACUUUACUGGGCUAUUACUAACACUCAGAGACGAAAGCUAGGGUAGCAAAUGGGAUUAGAUACCCCAGUAGUCCUAGCUGUAAACAAUGGAUACUAGAUGUUGAACAGAUCGACCUGUGCAGUAUUAAAGCUAACGCGUUAAGUAUCCCGCCUGGGAAGUAUGCUCGCAAGAGUGAAACUUAAGGAAUUGACGG